UACGUAGGGAGCAAGCGUUGUCCGGAAUCAUUGGGCGUAAAGCGCGCGUAGGUGGCUUCGUAAGUCCGUUGUGAAAGUCAAAGGCUCAACCUUUGAAAGCCGAUGGAUACUGUGGAGCUAGAGUACGGAAGAGGCGAGUGGAAUUCCUGGUGUAGCGGUGGAAUGCGCAGAUAUCAGGAGGAACACCGGUGGCGAAGGCGGGUCUCUGGGCAGUAACUGACGCUGAGGAGCGAAAGCGUGGGGAGCGAACAGG
rnacentral:rRNA from 1 species